ensembl:misc_RNA Metazoa_SRP Metazoan signal recognition particle RNA
GCCGGGUGCAGUGGCGCGCGCCUGUAAUCCAAGCUGCUGGGAGGCUGAGGCUGGCGGAUCACUUGAGUUCAGGGGUUCUGGGCUGCAGUGGACUAUGUCGAUCGGGUGUCCGCGCUAAGUUCGGUAUCGAUAUGGUGCUCCUGGGGGAGCUCGGGACCACCAGGUCGUCUAAGGAGGGGUGAACCGGCCCAGGUCGGAGACGGAGCAGGUCAAAGCCCCCGUGCCGAUCAGUAGUGGGGUCGCACCUGUGAAUAGACACUGCAGUGCAGCCUGAGCGAUACAGCGAGACUCAGACUUUU